rnacentral:rRNA from 1 species
UACGUAGGGUGCAAGCGUUAAUCGGAAUUACUGGGCGUAAAGCGCGCGUAGGUGGUUCGUUAAGUUGGAUGUGAAAUCCCCGGGCUCAACCUGGGAACUGCAUUCAAAACUGACGAGCUAGAGUAUGGUAGAGGGUGGUGGAAUUUCCUGUGUAGCGGUGAAAUGCGUAGAUAUAGGAAGGAACACCAGUGGCGAAGGCGACCACCUGGACUGAUACUGACACUGAGGUGCGAAAGCAUGGGGAGCGAACAGG